GAUGAACGCUGGCGGCGUGCCUAAUACAUGCAAGUCGAACGAAACUUCUUUAUCACCGAGUGCUUGCACUCACCGAUAAAGAGGUGAGUGGCGAACGGGUGAGUAACACGUGGGCAACCUGCCCAAAAGAGGGGGAUAACACUUGGAAACAGGUGCUAAUACCGCAUAACCAUAGUUACCGCAUGGUAACUAUGUAAAAGGUGGCUAUACUACCGCUUUUGGAUGGGCCCGCGGCGCAUUAGCUAGUUGGUAGGGUAAAGGCUUACCAAGGCAAGGAUGCGUAGCCGACUUGAGAGGUUGAUCGGCCACAUUGGAACUGAGACACGGCCCAAACUCCUACGGGAGGCAGCAGUAGGGAAUCUUCCACAAUGGGCGAAAGCCUGAUGGAGCAACGCCGCGUGAGUGAAGAAGGUCUUCGGAUCGUAAAACCCUGUUGUUAGAGAAGAAAGUGCGUGAGAGUAACUGUUCACGUUUCGACGGUACCUAACCAGAAAGCCACGGCUAACUACGUG
rnacentral:rRNA from 1 species